AUUAUUGAAUUGUUAAAACUUUCAACAACGGAUCUCUUGGCUCUGGCAUCGAUGAAGAACGCAGCGAAAUGCGAUAAGUAAUGUGAAUUGCAGAAUUUAGUGAAUCAUCGAAUCUUUGAACGCACAUUGCGCCCCUUGGUAUUCCGAGGGGCAUGCCUGUUCGAGCGUC
rnacentral:rRNA from 1 species